ensembl:lincRNA Gm44127 predicted gene, 44127
AAACAGAGGUCCCGAGCAGGUCCUGUGAGGAGUGAGAGUCUGCAUCCCUGUGUUGGUGGAAGUGGAAGAAUACAUUUCCUGGUUGACCUGAGGAGGAGGUGAGGGGCUGGAGUGGUUAAGAGCACUUUCUGAUCUUCCAGCCGACCAGUUCCUAGCACCCACAUCAGGUUUUUCACAACUGCAAGUAACUCCAGCUCCAAGGGAUCCAAUAUCCUCUUCUGGCCUCAUUGGCCACUGCACUUACUUUUAUGUAGGCAUAAAUAUACACAGGCACACAUACAGAUAGCGUAA